UCUACUACACAUGACAUCAAUAACUGUCUGAAACCUGGGACAAGGCCCCAAGUAAACCAAAACCAAAGUAAAAAAAUAAAAAGAGAUAUGCCUUCCCGAAUAAACAAGGCUCACCACCGCAAACUUUGCUUCUGUCUGAAAGCUCUACGGAUUAGCAGGACAUCUAGACUGAGCCUCAGACCCUGGAAGGUAGGGGUCAAUACAGUUUUACUGGUACGCAGAGCAAAUCCAAAAUAAUAAUUUUUAUUCAACAUAUAUGAGAGUAAUUUAAAACAGUUUAUGAAUAUAUCAUAUGGUAAGAAUCAUAUGGGCAUAUUUAAAAGAUUCUGUAAAAUCAUUUGAACUCUAUGACACUCUUUAUAUUACUUCUGCGCUAGGUGGUAUACCCUACAAAUCUGAAAUUCCAUGGGCUAUAUGCAAUCUGCCAUUAAUCGGCAGCCAAGCCCCCAACCCAAGUUUGCCACAAGGGUCGGAGUCUCUGUCUCUACUACGCCAUAGGGUCAUCGCCAUCGUACAAUAAUAAUAUACCCGUAUCAGCAAAAUACGAUUUUGGGCUAAGAGUUACUUGAACUCAAGACUUCUUAUGGUAACCACCUAACCCACUUUAAGCUCAUUUUUAACUCUUUAAAAAUUUCAUUCUCUGAAAUCAAACUCGGAAAAACUCUAGCUCUGUUAUGGCAUACAUGUAUAUUGUAUCGUCAUACCAUUGACUUGCAAGUCGCGACUCUAAGCUAUUAAUAGCAUAUUGUAAUCUCUAUUUUCAAAACAUAAGGUUUGGGACCACCAUAUCAAUAAAUCAAUUGAAAUAACUCUUUCUUAAAACUCAUGUAAACACAUGCGAGUAACUGUUUUUUUCAACAUUUCAAAUACCCAAGGUGGUCAUAUCAAAGUUCUCAAUCACAUACAAUUCUUUCUCCUUAACACGAGAACAUAAUUAUAUCAAUAAAACCCCUCUCAUCAUCUUUAAAUCAUGAUCAAAUACUAUGAUAUUGAGAAAACAAUUUUCAAACCAUCAAUCAUACAUUUCAAACCAUUCACAAUAAGAUCAUAAACUUAAAUUCAUCACAAGAGAGUGAUUUCAUAAUUGGUGCUCUCAAACAAAUCUUAAAUCUCAAUUUUCA
rnacentral:lncRNA from 1 species